rnacentral:rRNA from 1 species
UCGGGAAUUUUGGGCAAUGGGCGAAAGCCUGACCCAGCAACGCCGCGUGAAGGAUGAAGUAUUUCGGUAUGUAAACUUCGUAAGAAUAGGAAGAAUAAAUGACGGUACUAUUUGUAAGGUCCGGCUAACUACGUGCCAGCAGCCGCGGUAAUACGUAGGGACCAAGCGUUGUUCGGAUUUACUGGGCGUAAAGGGCGCGUAGGCGGUGUGUCAAGUCAGUUGUGAAAUCUCCGAGCUUAACUCGGAACGGUCAACUGAUACUGUCACACUAGAGUACAGAAGGGGCAAUCGGAAUUCUUGGUGUAGCGGUGAAAUGCGUAGAUAUCAAGAGGAACACCUGAGGCGAAGGCGGGUUGCUGGGCUGAUACUGACGCUGAGGCGCGAAAGCUAGGGUAGCAAACGGGAUUAGAUACCCUAGUAGUCCCUGAGCGGGCUGGCAAGGCGCAU